rnacentral:rRNA from 1 species
AUUGAACGCUGGCGGAAUGCUUUACACAUGCAAGUCGAACGGCAGCACGGACUUCGGUCUGGUGGCGAGUGGCGAACGGGUGAGUAAUGUAUCGGAACGUGCCCAGUCGUGGGGGAUAACGUAGUGAAAAUUACGCUAAUACCGCAUACGAUCUAUGGAUGAAAGCGGGGGAUCGCAAGACCUCGCGCGAUUGGAGCGGCCGAUAUCAGAUGAGGUAGUUGGUGGGGUAAAGGCCCACCCAGCCAACGAUCUGUAGCUGGUCUGAGAGGACGGCCAGCCACACUGGAACUGAGAGACGGUCCAGACUCGUACGGGAGGCAGCAGUGGGGAAUUUUGGACAAUGGGCGAAAGCCUGAUCCAGCCAUUCCGCGUGCAGGAUGAAGGCCCUCGGGUUGUAAACUGCUUUUGUACAGAACGAAAAGGUUUCUACUAAUACUAGGAGCUCAUGACGGUACUGUAAGAAUAAGCACCGGCUAACUACGUGCCAGCCGCCGCAGUAA